CUGCUGCCUUCCGUAGGAGUCUGGUCCGUGUCUCAGUACCAGUGUGGGGGACCUUCCUCUCAGAACCCCUACGCAUCGUCGCCUUGGUGGGCCGUUACCCCGCCAACAAGCUAAUGCGACGCAUGGCCAUCCGUAGCCGGAAUCGCUUCCUUUAAACCCACAGAGAUGCCUCCAUGGGUUGUUACGCGGUAUUAGACGGAAUUUCUUCCGCUUAUCCCCCUGCUACGGGCAGGUUUCAUACGUGUUACUCACCCGUGCGCCGGUCGCCGGCGGG
rnacentral:rRNA from 1 species